UACGUAGGGUGCAAGCGUUGUCCGGAAUUAUUGGGCGUAAAGAGCUCGUAGGCGGUCUGUUGCGUCGGCUGUGAAAACCCGGGGCUCAACUCCGGGCCUGCAGCCGAUACGGGCAGACUAGAGUUCGGCAGGGGAGACUGGAAUUCCUGGUGUAGCGGUGAAAUGCGCAGAUAUCAGGAGGAACACCGGUGGCGAAGGCGGGUCUCUGGGCCAAAACUGACGCUGAGGCACGAAAGCUAGGGGAGCAAACAGG
rnacentral:rRNA from 1 species